CUGAAAGUGCGAGAGAUCACUGAGUUCUUCUUCUGCAACUUUUCUGCCGAACACGUAUUUGGAGAAAUUGAUCAAGUUUUCUCAUAAACAAAGGGUGCGUAUGUAGUGAAAAAACCUGUUUUGGAGAAGACCACUUGUAUCAGAGACUUCAAUUUCAAGACAAAUGUGAAGCUCUCAAAUUGCAAGACAGAACUGAAAUUGGCCUUCUUUGUUUGUUGUUGCAUGCACAUAGAUCACUUACUUUGGAUCACAAGAAAGCUGAAGACAGGAUGGGAUGAAACAUGGGAUAAAAAUUCAGGCCUGAUAAUUUUUAAGACAGGACAUGGGCAAAGGGUGUCCCAGUGCCAUCCCAUCCUAUGAACAACCCGAGAAAAAAAGAUCACUUACUUUGGAUCAAAAGGAAGCUCAAGCCAGUUCAACUGACAAAGAAGAAAAGCAUAAAGCUUGGAAGGUAUGAGGUCAAGGGUUCAAACCUUGGCUUUGACAUAAAUAUGAUGAAUAUAUAAUAUGAUAAGGAGCAAGUGACAUGACGCAAGGUGGACAAUGACGUGUCAUGAGUUGUCGCACAUGUGGUGGGUGAUAGGGCGCGAGAUGGUAGGUGACAUGGUGGUUGACAAAAGCAUGAGAUUGUUGAUGACAUGUCACUAGUUGACAUCACACAUGGCGGGUGAUGUGGUAUAGUUAUUUUUAAAUAUAAGCAUAUUUAGCGAGGGAUUAGUGAGAGACUAAUUCCUCGCUAAAGUUAUUAAAUUUUAAAUAGUAUUAGAGAGGAAUUAGCGAGGGAUUUAGUCCCUAACUAAUUUUAGCAAGGGAUUAAAUCUCUCACUAAAUCUCUCACUAAUUAGUGAGGGAAAUACAAUUCCUUACUAAAUUUAGCGAGCCCUUUUUUAGCUAUGAAUUUAGUGAGGGACAAAAUUCCUAACUAAAAUACAAUUUAACUACGAAAAAUGACAUUUAGUGAGGGAUUCGUCCCUCACUAAAUUCCAUUUUUCUAGUAGUGAUUUAGUAUACAUGCUUUUUUCUUUUAAUCAACUUUUUGUUGGAUAUUUGUGCUUUUAUCCAUGUUUCUUGUUUCAAUAGUGUUUCAUAGUCAUUCUUUUUUAUUUUUUUAUUUUUUUUGUGUUUACAGUCAUUCUUAUAUAAUUACAUAUAUAAUUUUGAACAAUCAAAAGAACUUUUUCACCUGACAUUUGGCACAUUUUAAACUCUAAAGGAUUUGAAAUAUAUAUAUACAUAUAGAUGGCAGAGGGUCAACAUUACUUUUAUAUUUUUUUAUUAUUUUUUCAUAAUUCAUUUAAUGAUCAAUAGUACUUAAUGUUGGUGAAUUCUUAAUUUGAUUGAUAUUUUCUUAUUUUUCAUUUUUUUUUCACCCUAUAAUUAGUAAUUUUGGCUUAAGGUUAUAAUAUCUAAGGAGGCUCUAUAUAUAGAUAUGUUAGUUGACUAAAUGUUGUUGUAUAGGAUUUUUUUUAAUGAUGUAAGAAUGCACUUAAGUCUCAAAACUCAAAAGAUUAACUUAAUAACAAUUUUAUUAUAGAAAAUUGUUGAAAGAUGAGUUAUCGAUACGUCUCUUCUAGUGAUUUCCAACUAAAAUUUAUAUGUAUACGAGAUAUUUAAACUUUCUUCUAUUUAUUUCAUAAUAAAAUUUUCAUAUUUGCCAUUAUCAAUCAAUGUAUAUAUACAUAUAUAUUUAAAACUUAUCUCCUUGAAUAAAAUAUUCUAG